CUACAUUUUCCUUGAAUACAAGGAAAAUAUUUUCCUUGGGGGAAGGUGGAUUUUAUUUUCCAUGGAAUUUAACCUUUCCAAAAAUUCUAGGUAACCAACCCACAUUAAUAUCUCUUUCUCUCAUUUCUAUGUUAAUAUCUCUCUCUCUCAUCUCUACCCACUUACAAAUCACUACCCUCUCUCUCAUCAAUUCAACUGAGCCUUUAGAAGUAGCUUAACAAUUUAUGUCCUUGAGUUUAUGUUCUUGAUUCUAUUAAUUGGGGGAUUACUGUGGUGCGAAUGAGUUAGGGAAGCAUGAAAUUGAAAAAAAUGAUUUUAAGAAUUCUAAUAUAACCAGUUGACAUUAUGCUUGGAAGGCCAUGCAAUGAAUUUCUAGUAUGAUGUAGCUACAGUUAACUUUUUAUUCUGUAAUGCUUUUAUGUUAUUCUUUCUAAACAAAUUUUUAUUUAAUUUUUAUUUACCAUGGUAGUUUAUAACAUGGCUACAACAACGAAUCAACGUCGAUGCCGACGACAACAUUUAGGUAUAUUUUGGACGAUGGUCAUGCAAGCGAUUGUGAUAUAUAACGAACUUAGGUGUCGUGCACGACAUCUUCCAAGAGCUCCUCAUACAAAUUGGAAUUCUGAAAGAGAAAUAACACUUACACGAAUGUUUGGCACGAGUAAUACAAUAUGUCGUGAUCUCCUUAGGAUGAAAAUAGGUCUAUUUCAAAGAUUAUGUGCUCGUUUGCGAACUUAUGGAUUGGUUGACAGUAAAUACGUUCGAAUUGAGGAACAAGUCGCAAUUUUUCUGAAUACAGUCGGGCAUGACCAACGUAAUCGCGCUGGACGCUUUACUUUCUUUUGCUCUGGUCAAACAAUGAGCUUUUACUUUCACAGAGUCUUACACGCUUGUCUUGGGCUGUAUAGAGAUGUUGUGAUUAAUGUCACUCUUCAUAACUCACCAUACGAAAAAGAAAAUGUGCAGCCAUGGUACUCCUUUUUUCAGGUUAGUGGUUUGUAGUUAUUUCAUCACAUUUCUUAAAACUUCAAUAUUCACAUUUAUUUUGAAAAGUAUUGUUUUUUAAAGGAUGCCGUAGGAGUAAUCGAUGGUACACAUAUAGCUGCGUAUGUGCCUUUAGAAGAGUAAGGUAAAUAUUGCAAUAGAAAGCAAGUGAUUUCCUAUGUUUUAGUAGCUUGCACAUUUGAUAUGAAAUUUACGCACAUGCUUGCCGGUUGGGAGGGAUCCGCAUAUGAUGAUCGAUUGUUACGGAGUGCAAUAUUACGCCAAGGACAUAAGCUAACAAUUCCUGUUGGUAAGUUGUGUCACUAUUUUGAAAACAUUUCUUCCACACAUAAGUUAUAAUAAUUACCUAACUACCAUCUUAUAAACGACUCUUUCCUAGGUAAAUAUUACCUUGUUGACGCUGGCUUCCCAUCGGUUUCGGGUUUUCUUGCACCAUGCCGUAGGACUCGUUAUCAUUGUAGAGAUAUUGAAGGUCAACGUCCUAAAAGUAGUAAGGAGUUGUUCAAUUUUUGACAUUAAUCUCUACGUAAUAUUAUUGAGCGUACAAUUGGUUUGCUGAAAAAAAGAUUUGCAUAUUUGAGAUAUCAACCCUAUCACGACAUUGACACACAAGCAAAGAUAGUCCUUGCCUGUUCUGCCAUCCACAACUUCUUAAGGAUUGAUGACGUUGAAGAUGUUUGUAAGGAGGAUGACUUAGAUAGUAGUGAUGAUGAGGUUAACCCUACGCAUGUUGAUGUACCUGAAGAUGAAACUCCAAAUGCUCACAUAUCUUUCACAA
rnacentral:lncRNA from 1 species